rnacentral:rRNA from 1 species
ACGUAGGGUGCGAGCGUUAAUCGGAAUUACUGGGCGUAAAGCGUGCGCAGGCGGCGCCGCAAGUCAGGCGUGAAAUCCCCGGGCUUAACCUGGGAAUGGCGCUUGAAACUACGGUGCUGGAGUGUGGCAGAGGGAGGUGGAAUUCCACGUGUAGCGGUGAAAUGCGUAGAGAUGUGGAGGAACACCGAUGGCGAAGGCAGCCCCCUGGGUCAACACUGACGCUCAUGCACGAAAGCGUGGGGAGCAAACAGGA